GGAAAGAAUCUUGCAUUUAAAGUGACCCCCCUCUGCCUGGCAGGCCACAACUCAGAGCCACACCACCUGACUGCCAAGCGUCUAGGUCCUUCCUCUGAGAUUUCUUGGCUCAGGCCACCUGUAGGCUUCAGAAGGAUGGUACACAGGAGGUAAGGAAGCCCCUGCGGCCUCUCUGUCUUCUCACCCCCAGAA
rnacentral:lncRNA from 1 species